rnacentral:rRNA from 1 species
GAGUUUGAUCUUGGCUCAGGACGAACGCUGGCGGUAUGCCUAAUACAUGCAAGUCGAGCGCAGGAAGCAGACUGAAGCCUUCGGGUGGAUGUCUGUGGAAUGAGCGGCGGAUGGGUGAGUAUCACGUGGGUAACCUGCCUGUAAGCUUGGGAUAACUCCGGGAAACCGGUGCUAAUACCAGAUAAGAUUUCCGUUCGCAUGAACGGAAAAUGAAA